GAUGAACGCUGGCGGCGUGCCUAAUACAUGCAAGUCGAGCGAACAGACGAGGAGCUUUCUCCUCUGACGUUAGCGGCGGACGGGUGAGUAACACGUGGAUAACCUACCUAUAAGACUGGGAUAACUUCGUGAAACCGGAGCUAAUAUCGGAUAUUAUAUUGAACCUCAUGGUUCAAUAGUGAAAGACGGUUUUGCUGUCACUUAUAGAUGGAUCCGCGCCGCAUUAGCUAGUUGGUAAGGUAACGGCUUACCAAGGCAACGAUGCGUAGCCGACCUGAGAGAGUGAUCGGCACCACGGGACCGAGAACACGGUCAGACCUCCACCGGGAGGAGGCGGUGGGAAAUCUUCCGAAAGGGGGGAAGGCCUGACGGGGCAACGCGGCGUGAGUAAUGCAGGUCUUCGGAUCGUAAAACUCUGUUAUUAGGGAAGAACAAAUGUGUGAGUAACUAGGCACGUCUUGACGGUACCUGAUCAGAAAGCCACGGCUAACUACGUG
rnacentral:rRNA from 1 species